UUUCCGUAGGUGAACCUGCGGAAGGAUCAUUAAUAAAUGGUCUACGUUUUUUAAGUAGACGCUUAAUAAUCCUACCCUUUGUGAAUUUGUUUGUUUGAAAUAAUUUUUUUUAAAAUUAUUGAAUGUCUUUCCCUGUUGAAUUGGUUGUCUUUAAUGGCAAGUGAUUCGCAGGGGAGUGUCAAUAAUUUUUAAAAAGACCUUUUUUAAAAUUAAACUUUUUGUAUUCAUUUGUCUAAAAAUUAUUUUUAUAAUAUAAAAACAACUUUUGACAAUGGAUCUCUUGGUUCUCGCAACGAUGAAGAACGCAGCAAAAUGCGAUAAGUAGUGUGAAUUGCAGAAUACGUGAAUCAUCGAAUCUUCGAACGCAUAUUGCACUUUUUUAGUUUACUAAAAAAGUAUGUCUGUUUGAGUAUCAGUAAAAUAUUCUCAUAAAAAACAUUGUUUUUUAUGGUUAUGAGUGUUUUACAACGAUACAAGUUGUUUCACUUUAAAUUUUUUUAAAAUUUGAAUUUUUCUAAUUUUAAAAUAAAAUUGGAUAAAAUUUUCCCGUAAAAAGGAAUAACCUAAACAAUUUUAAUUUUUGAUUAGAAAAUCCAAACUAAAAGGAAAAUUUAACUAAAUAACUUGAUCUCAAAUCAGAUAAGAGUACCCGCUGAACUUAAGCAUAUCAAUAAGCGGAGGAAAAGAAACUAACAAGGAUUCCUUAGUAACGGCGAGUGAAGCGGGAAGAGCUCAAAUUUGAAAUCUUCAAGGUUUUACCUUGACGAAUUGUAGUUUAAAGAAGUGUUUUCUGUUGAAGUUUUGGUAAAAGUUCUUUGGAAUAGGACAUCAUAGAGGGUGAGAAUCCCGUAUUUGACCAUUAUUUUCAGCUGUGUGAUACACUUUCAAAGAGUCGGAUUGUUUGGGAAUGCAGUCCAGAGUGGGUGGUAAAUUUCAUCUAAAGCUAAAUAUUGGCGAGAGACCGAUAGCGGACAAGUACCGUGAGGGAAAGAUGAAAAGAACUUUGAAAAGAGAGUUAAACAGUACGUGAAAUUGUCAAAAGGGAAGCGUUUGACACCAGUGUUGUUUUCUCGAAAUCAAUUAAAAAAGUUGGAUUUUGUGUUGUAUUGACCUUAACAGCUUGCUUCACUCUUUUCCUGCUUUUUUUAAUGCACUUUUCGUUUAACAAGUCAACAUCAGUUUCUUUUGUUGUAAAAGGGUCAUUGGAAGGUGGCUUUCUCUUCGGAGAAAGUGUUUAUAGCCUUUGAUCUCUGCAAUCGGAGAGACUGAGGUCUGCAGCGUAGAUCCUUCGGGUUAGAUACAUUUGUGCUAAGCUACAGCUUUUCAUAGACAACUUGUUGACUAUGUUUAGUCUUGUGACUUACCCGCUUAUGCUAUUU
rnacentral:misc_RNA from 1 species